rnacentral:rRNA from 1 species
AACGAACGCUGGCGGCAGGCUUAACACAUGCAAGUCGAGCGCCCCGCAAGGGGAGCGGCAGACGGGUGAGUAACACGUGGGAAUCUACCCAUCCCUGCGGAACAACUCCGGGAAACUGGAGCUAAUACCGCAUACGCCCUUCGGGGGAAAGAUUUAUCGGGGAUGGAUGAGCCCGCGUUGGAUUAGCUAGUUGGUGGGGUAAAGGCCUACCAAGGCGACGAUCCAUAGCUGGUAUGAGAGGAUGAUCAGCCACAUUGGGACUGAGACACGGCCCAAACUCCUACGGGAGGCAGCAGUGGGGAAUAUUGGACAAUGGGCGCAAGCCUGAUCCAGCCAUGCCGCGUGAGUGAUGAAGGCCUUAGGGUUGUAAAGCUCUUUCACCGAUGAAGAUAAUGACGGUAGUCGGAGAAGAAGCCCCGGCUAACUUCGUGCCAGCCGCCGCGGUAA